rnacentral:rRNA from 1 species
AGAGUAGAAUUCCCGGGUGUAGUGAUGGAAUGCGUAGAUAUCGGGAGGAAUACCAGUGGCGAAAGCGACUCUCUGGUCCACACCUGACGCUGAGGUGCGAAAGCGUGGGUAGCGAACGGGAUUAGAUACCCCGGUAGUCCACGCUGUAAACGAUGGAUACUAGGUGUAGGGGGUCACUGAAUCCCUCUGUGCUCGUAGCAAACGCGUUAAGUAUCCCGCGUGGGGAUUACGGCCGCAAGGUUAAAACUCAAAGGAAUUGACGGGGGCCCCCACAAGCAGCGGAGCGUGUGGUUUAAUUUGAUGAUACGCGAAGAACCUUACCUGGGAUGAAGUACGUGGUAGUAGAGAAGCGAAAGCGGAUCGACCCUUCGGGGAGCCUCUAUAGGUGCCGCAUGGCUGUCGUCAGCUCGUGUCGUGAGAUGUUGGGUUAAGUCCCGCAACGAGUGCAACCCUUGUCGUUAGUUAUAUAUGUCUAGCGAGACUGCCGGUAUCAAACCGGAGGAAGGUGGGGAUGACGUCAAGUCAGCAUGGUCUUCAUGUCCAGGGCCCACACACGCCACAAGAGCCGGUACAACAGGUUGUUAUACCGGGAGGGCGAGUUAAUCCUUAAACACUGUCUCAGUUAGGGGCGCAGUCUUCAACUGGCCUCCAUGAAGGUGGAGUUGAUAGUAACCGAGCGUCAGCAUUCAUGCGGUGAAUGCGUUCCCAGGCCUGGUACACACCGCCCGUCACAUCCGUGAACUCGGGAACACCUGAAGUCGGGGACCUUCCUCCAAGGAAGGACCUGCGUAAGCGGGACCGGUGACUGGGACGAAGUCCUAACAAGGUAACCAAGGGCGAA